rnacentral:rRNA from 1 species
GAUGAACGCUGGCGGCGUGCCUAACACAUGCAAGUCGAGCGAUCUUCUUCGGAAGAGAGCGGCGGACGGGUGAGUAACGCGUGGGUAACCUGCCCUGUACACACGGAUAACAUACCGAAAGGUAUGCUAAUACGGGAUAAUAUGCUUUUAUCGCAUGGUAGAAGUAUCAAAGCUCCGGCGGUACAGGAUGGACCCGCGUCUGAUUAGCUAGUUGGUAAGGUAACGGCUUACCAAGGCGACGAUCAGUAGCCGACCUGAGAGGGUGAUCGGCCACACUGGGACUGAGACACGGCCCAGACUCCUACGGGGGCAGCAGUAGGGAAUUUUCGGCAAUGGGCGAAAGCCUGACCGAGCGACGCCGCGUGAGGGACGAAGGCCUUCGGGUUGUAAACCUCUGUCUGGGGGAUGAGAACGGACGGUACCCCGGACGGAAGCCCGGCUAACUACGUG